ACAGAGGCGGCGAGCGUUGUUCGGAUUUACUGGGCGUAAAGGGUGCGUAGGCGGUUUUGUGUGUCGGUUGUGAAAUCUCACAGCUUAACUGUGAAAUUGCCAUCGAAACUGCAGGACUGGAGUACAGGGGAGGAGAGCGGAAUUCUUGGUGUAGCGGUGAAAUGCGUAGAUAUCAAGAGGAACACCGGUGGCGAAGGCGGCUCUCUGGUCUGGUACUGACGCUGAGGCACGAGAGCGUGGGGAGCAAACAG
rnacentral:rRNA from 1 species